rnacentral:SRP_RNA from 1 species
GCUGAGUGUGGUGGCAUGCACCUGUAGUCCCAGCUACUCCAGAGGCUGAGGCACGAGGAUCACUUGAGCCCAGGAGUUCUGGGCUGUUGUGUGCUGUGCCCAUCAGGCAUCUGCACUAAGUUUGGCAUCAAUAUGGUGACCUCUGGGGAGUGAGGAACCACCAGAUUUCCUGAGGAGUGAACCCACCCAGGUUGGAAAUGGGGCAGGUCAAACCUCCCCUGCUGAUCACUACUGGGGUCUACCCUAUGACUAGCCACUGCACUCCAGUCUGGGCAACACAGUAAGACCCCAUCUCU